rnacentral:rRNA from 1 species
AAUACGUAGGGUGCGAGCGUUGUUCGGAAUUACUGGGCGUAAAGGGCGUGCAGGCGGAUUGGCAAGCCGGAGGUGAAAGCCCGGGGCUCAACCCCGGAGGGUCUUUCGGAACUGCCAGUCUUGAGAGGGUCAGGGGCCAGCGGAAUUCCUGGUGUAGAGGUGAAAUUCGUAGAGAUCAGGAGGAACACCGGCGGCGAAAGCGGCUGGCUGGGGCCACUCUGACGCUGAGGCGCGAAAGCGUGGGGAVCAAACAGGAUUAGAUACCCUGGUAGUCCACGCCGUAAACGAUGGGCACUAAGCGUCCGACGGGUUCGACCCUGUUGGGUGCUGCAGUUAACGCGUUAAGUGCCCCGCCUGGGGAGUACGGUCGCAAGACUAAAACUCAAAGGAAUUGACGGGGGCCCGCACAAGCGGUGGAACAUGUGGUUUAAUUCGACGCAACGCGAAGAACCUUACCUGGGUUUGACAUCCCCGGCCGACACCAGAGAUGGUGUUUUCUCUUCGGAGACCGGGUGACAGGUGCUGCAUGGCUGUCGUCAGCUCGUGUCGUGAGAUGUUGGGUUAAGUCCCGCAACGAGCGCAACCCUUGCCCUCAGUUGCCAGCAGUUCGGCUGGGCACUCUGGGGGGACUGCCGGUGACAAGCCGGAGGAAGGUGGGGAUGACGUCAAGUCCUCAUGGCCUUUAUAUCCAGGGCUACACACGUGUUACAAUGGGGGUCACAAAGGGCAGCGAAACGGUGACGUGGAGCGAAUCCCAAAAAAGCCCUCUCAGUUCGGAUCGCAGUCUGCAACUCGACUGCGUGAAGCUGGAAUCGCUAGUAAUCGCGGAUCAGCACGCCGCGGUGAAUACGUUCCCGGGCCUUGUACACACCGCCCGUCAAGCCAUGGAAGCUGGGGGUACCUGAAGUCGGUAACCGUAAGGAGCUGCCUAGGGUAAAACUAGU